CGUGGCUAUUAUCGAAGCUGCACUAGGCAUAAAUGUCUGCUGCAGUCAAAGUUGGCCUACAGUAAAGAUCACUAUUGGUCACUGGAUGGUCUCUACCAUAUCAGUAUUACCCAUAGUGAAAACAGUA